rnacentral:ncRNA from 2 species
AUCUUAUUUAGAGUGGUGGAGGGACUGGCCCUAUGAAACCCGGCAACCCCCCUUAGGGAAGGUGCUAAAUCCUGCAGCCCCAGUUUUUUAUUGGCUGAUAGAUAAGAG